rnacentral:rRNA from 1 species
AUUGAACGCUGGCGGCAGGCCUAACACAUGCAAGUCGAACGAGUGGCGGACGGGUGAGUAAUGUCUGGGAAACUGCCUGAUGGAGGGGGAUAACUAAUGGAAACGGUAGCUAAUACCGCAUACCAUCGGAUGUGCCCAGAUGGGAUUAGCUAGUAGGGGGGGUAACGGCUCACCUAGGCGACGAUCCCUAGCUGGUCUGAGAGGCUGACCAGCCACACUGGAACUGAGACACGGUCCAGACUCCUACGGGAGGCAGCAGUGGGGAAUAUUGCCCAAUGGGCGCAAGCCUGAUGCAGCCAUGCCGCGUGUAUGAAGAAGGCCUUCGGGUUGUAAAGUACUUUCAGCGGGGAGGCGGUACUCGCAGAAGAAGCACCGGCUAACUCCGUGCCAGCAGCCGCGGUAAUAC